GAUAGUCCUGGCCUGGGGAGCUCCAUCUUAGAAAUAUAUGCCUGACUCCCAGGAAACACGUUUUGCAAGGUGAUAAGGCCAUGUACCUGGGAAACCCAAGCAACCAUAUUUGAUAAAGCAAAUAACAACUUGAAUUUGAACAGGGAUUUUUGUCAUGUGGACAAGGAACUCGGAAACUAUAAAAUAAAAUAAUACAUGUUAAAAAACUUAAAUUUUGUAUGGCAAUAGACAACAUCAUCGACCCUAGAUUGGGGAAAAUUACAGAUAGCUCGAGCUGGUAUUAAUAAUGAGAAAUGUCUCUUCGUCAUUUAUAAGAAUAAGCUCAGCGCUCAGAGAGUAACGGCAAAGACUGAACGGGAAACUCAGAAGAGCAAAUCCAAGUUGGCUAAGAAACUAGGAAAGAUAAUCAUCGUCCUUAGUAAUCAUGGAAAUGCAAAUUACAGCAACAGGAGACACCGUUCUUACCAGGUGGGCAACAAAAAGGGAGAGAAAUACAGGAUUUUUUCCAAACAGACUUGGGGAAAGCGACUUGACAGACUUUCUUCGCAUGAAAAACUGACAGACCUCUCAACCCAGACAUUCUCCUCUUGAG